CUGUUUUUAAGCCCGCUCCUUGGUGAUCCUUGGUGCUGUUGUCCUUAAGGCACUUUCCCCUGAGAAAAGGCACAGAACAAAAUGACUUUUAGCCAUUCCUUCUUAAUUUCUGCAGCAUGAGAAAAAUUCUCAAAUUGUGUGCAAAUGACAUAAUGGUUUCCUGGCAACAUGAACUUAAUCACAGGAGAUCCAGGAGAAGACAGAAGGCUGCAAUGAUGCUGCCAAUCUGAUCCACGUUCAUUAACACUCUAUUUUUAUAUAAUACCCCAGAGAGACAGGCUGACAAAAAUCUCUUGAAGUUCAGUAAGGAGAAGUUCAGAGUUCUGAUCCCUGGGAGGAACAAGUCCAGGCACCUGGGACCACUCAGCUGGAUAACAUCUUUGCUGAAAAAGGCCUCGGAGUCCGAUGGAUACCAAGUUGAACACGAAUCAUUAUUGUGUCCUUGCUGCAAAGAAGGCUAAUGGUAAUUUUGUUUGCAUUGGGCAAAGUAUCUCCAGCAAGUCAAGAGAAGUGAUCCUUCCCUUCUAUUCAGCAGUGGUGAGGCCACACCUGUAGUACUGUGUUCAGUUCUGGUUCCCUAGUACAAGAGAGACAUGGACAUACUGAAAAGUGUCCAAGGGAGUGCCACCAUGGUGGAGCAUCUCUCCUAUGAAGAGAGGCUUAGACAGCUGUGACUGUUUGGCCUGGAGAAGAAGGGGCUCAGAGGGGAUCAAUGUCUUUAAAUACCUGAAGGGAGAGUGCAGAGGACAGAACCAUGCUACAUUCAGUGGUGCCUAGAGCCAGGACAAUGUACACAAAAGAGUCAAUGGGCACAAAACCACACAGGAGGCUCCCUGUGAACAACAGGCAGAGUUCUGCACUGUGCGGUUGAUGGAACACUGGCACAGGCUUCACAGAGGCUGUGGGGUCUCCUCCUUGGAGGUCCCUAGAAGCCAUGGGGAUGUGGGCCUUGGCACCCUGCUCUGGGUCACCCUGCUGCAGCAGGGCUGGGAAAGGGGGACCCAGGGAUUCCUUCCAACUUCAGAAAUUCUGUGAUAUUUUCAAGAAAUUGUGAAGAUUUGUGUGUUGAUUGUAUUUACAUAUAAUGUUAGUAUGCAUAACUACAUUGAACAUCUAAAUAUUUUAUUCUUCCAACAUGUUUAGAGGUCAAUAAUUUCUCUAUUUUGAAUUGAUUGUCUUUAAAUUUACAAAUCCAUUAUCUCUUAAUUUUUAUAUUAAUCACUAUAUCUCAUGCAUAUUUUGUCAAUAUUUAAACUAGAAAUGCAGGAAAACGCAAUCUAAGUAAUAAUAUUUUGUUAAAACUUGCACAUAUAUCAUGGUUUUAUGAUUUUUGGUUAUCAGUAUUCCACAUCACAACAUCAUGCAGUGUACUGGGAGUUAAAGAGCAAAUGCUUUAGUUCCGGGUACCUGUCUGGAAGAGAAGAAGAACUACGGUCCCCAAGAGCCUUUUCGAGUACUGUUAUCAUUCCUGCUCAAACGAACAGAUAUAAGGGCGCAGGUCAUCUGACUCGGCUCUCUUCUCGUCUUGCUGUGUUCCCUGUCGGAUUGGCUUGCUACUGCUGCUCCCAACUGCACGCAAGGCUUCAGUACUAGUGUAAGCCCUUUGGCUCUUGG
ensembl:lncRNA